AAUGAACGUUGGCGGCGUGGAUUAGGCAUGCAAGUCGAGCGAGAAGUGUAGCAAUACACGGAAAGCGGCGAAAGGGAUAGUAACACGUAGGUACCUACCCCCGGGCCUGGGAUAGCGGCGGGAAACUGCCAUUAAUACCAGAUAACGUCUCCGGACCAAAGGUGUGAUUCCGUCUGGGGAGGGGCCUGCGUCCUAUCAGCUAGUUGGUGAGGUAAUGGCCCACCAAGGCAUUGACGGGUAGCGGGUGUGAGAGCACGACCCGCAUCACUGGGACUGAGACACUGCCCAGACACCUGCGGGUGGCUGCAGUCGAGAAUCUUCCGCAGUGGGCGCAAGCCUGACGGAGCGACGCCGCGUGCGGGAUGAAGGCCUUCGGGUUGUAAACCGCUGUCAGUGGGGAGGAAAUGCAUGGGGGUUCUCCCCCAUGUUUGACCGAUCCGCAGAGGAAGCACAGGCUAAGUUCGUGCCAGCCGCCGCAGUAAAAC
rnacentral:rRNA from 1 species